rnacentral:rRNA from 1 species
CGGAGGGUGCAAGCGUUAUCCGGAUUCACUGGGUUUAAAGGGUGUGUAGGCGGAUAUUUAAGUCAGUGGUGAAAUCUCCGGGCUCAACCCGGAAACUGCCAUUGAUACUAUUUAUCUUGAAUUCUGUUGAGGUGGGCGGAAUACAUCAUGUAGCGGUGAAAUGCUUAGAUAUGAUGUAGAACACCGAUUGCGAAGGCAGCUCACUAAACAGACAUUGACGCUGAGGCACGAAAGCGUGGGGAUCAAACAGGAUUAGAUACCCUGGUAGUCCACGCCCUAAACGAUGAUUACUCGACAUACGCGAUACACUGUGUGUGUCUGAGCGAAAGCAUUAAGUAAUCCACCUGGGAAGUACGACCGCAAGGUUG